rnacentral:lncRNA from 1 species
GUGAGAUUGAAAAAAUGACGAUGUCGUCCAUCAGAGGGGCUUAGAAUCUCCAGAUCAAAGGGGAUCGCUGGAUAAUACAAAAGAUUGAUUAGUUAGUCUUUUCUACAUAUUUAAAUGACAAUACAAAUCAGAGACUAUCAUUAAACCAGACAGCUCAUUAACAUUUACGUCAGUAAACACAACACACAUGUGUUUUGGCACACCUUAUAGAAAACAUUGAACUGAACACGUAUAAUGACUCAACUUAUCAAGGUAAUGGAAGGAAUAAUUUUAUUUAAGUAUUUUAUCACAUAGUCCCUAAAAUCACAGCAUAUAUAAUUUUGUCACGGUAAUAUAAAAGAAAAUCAAUCAAUUAUCAUAAUAUCCUUGGGACCCGAUUCAGUUAUUGUUGGAGAAGAAGAUUUAAUUGGGCCAGCGAAUACAAAGUUUUUCAAUCCUGGCACAGCAAUUAUGCUAAAGUUUUUAGUGAAGCCUGGAACAUGAUAAAACAUUCUUUUUCCAGAAUUAUGUUUAAGACAUUCAUUGACAAGAGCAAUAACAGACUUUGUCUUUAUAUAAAAACUCUUCCAAUGUAAGCUCGUAUAAGUUUCCUCCUGA